rnacentral:lncRNA from 1 species
GUAUAAUAUGUCAAAGUACAAAACAGUCAUUGGUUAUAUAUGGGUCCCAGGUAUAAGGGUCCUAAUACACACAAUAAAAACGGAUUUCAACAACAAAAAAUGUUUUUUUUGCCUUAUACACGAUGGAUGCAUGAAAAUAUCACCAUUUGAAGAAAUUCUAUUUUUUUCUAUUUUCCAUUUUUUUGCUGAAAAGCUCAAUGAUUCAUGUCCCAGC